AUUGAACGCUGGCGGCAGGCCUAACACAUGCAAGUCGAACGAGUGGCGGACGGGUGAGUAAUGUCUGGGAAACUGCCUGAUGGAGGGGGAUAACUACUGGCAACGGUAGCUAAUACCGCAUACCAUCAGAUGUGCCCAGAUGGGAGUAGCUAGUUGGUUGGGUAACGGCUCACCUAGGCGACGAUCCCUAGCUGGUCUGAGAGGAUGACCAGCCACACUGGAAUGGAGACACGGUCCAGACUCCUACGUGAGGUGGCAGGGGGGAAUAUUGCACAAUGGGCACAAGCCGGACGCAGCCAUGCCGCGUGUAUGAAGAAGGCCUUCGGGUUGUAAAGUACGUUCAGCGGGGAGGCGUUACCCGCAGAAGAAGCACCGGCUAACUCCGUGCCAGCAGCCGCGGUAAUAC
rnacentral:rRNA from 1 species